CUAAAUUCCCCAAAGACUCCAUUCAUACAGGUGGAUUUCCCAGGGUGAGGCUCAUGCACUGCAUUUGUGCAUGCUGAUCCCUGUGAUUUCCCCAGCUGGAGGAAACUCAACUUCAUAAUUUUUGAUAGUGGGAAACUACAGCUCUGGGCUGCUGA
rnacentral:snRNA from 1 species